AUUAAGCCAUGCAUGUCUAAGUACUUACCGAAUUAAGGUGAAACCGCGAAUGGCUCAUUAAAUCAGUUACGGUUCCUUAGAUUUUGACCGUUUACAUGGAUAACUGUGGUAAUUCCAGAGCUAAUACAUGCACCAAAGCCCCGACUGGCGGGUUAGUUGAGUCGCAAGGCUCGGCUAGCUGUUUGUUGGAAGGGGCGCACUUAUUAGACCAAAGACUGACGGGAUUGAUAGUAAAAUAUCUUCCCAUCUUGUGGUGACUCUGGAUAAACCGCGCUGAUCGCAUGGCCUUAGUGCCGGCGACAGAUCUUUCAAGUGUCUGCCUUAUCAACUGUCGAUGGUAGGUUAUGCGCCUACCAUGGUUGUAACGGGUAACGGGGAAUCAGGGUUCGAUUCCGGAGAGGGAGCCUGAGAAACGGCUACCACAUCCAAGGAAGGCAGCAGGCACGCAAAUUACCCACUCCCAGAACGGGGAGGUAGUGACGAAAAAUAACAAUAUGGGACUCUAAUGAGUUCCCAUAAUUGGAAUGAGUACAAUUUAAAUCCUUUAACGAGGAUCAAUUGGAGGGCAAGUCUGGUGCCAGCAGCCGCGGUAAUUCCAGCUCCAAUAGCGUAUAUUAAAGUUGUUGCGGUUAAAAAGCUCGUAGUUGGAUCUCAGCCUCAGUCUGAUCUGGUCCGCCUAUUCGGCGGUUACUAGUCAGCUGGGCAGAAAAUAUGGGCGAAGGGUUGGUGGUGUUCUUAACCGGGCGUCAUCAGCACCUCCCCACGUUUACUUUGAAAAAAUUAGAGUGCUCAAAGCAGCCGUUACACGGCCGAAUAAUGUUGCAUGGAAUAAUGGAAUAGGAUCUCGGUUCUAUUUCGUUGGUCUUCGGAGCUUGAGAUAAUGAUUAAGAGGGACAGACGGGGGCAUUCGUAUUGCGGGGCUAGAGGUGAUAUUCUUGGACCCUCGCAAGACGAACUAAAGCGAAAGCAUUUGCCAAGAAUGUUUUCAUUAAUCAAGAACGAAAGUUAGAGGUUCGAAGGCGAUCAGAUACCGCCCUAGUUCUAACCAUAAACGAUGCUAACCAGCAAUCCGCCUGAGUUCUUUCUAAUGACUCGGCGGGCGGCUUCCGGGAAACCACAGUGUUUCGGUUCCGGGGGAAGUAUGGUUGCAAAGCUGAAACUUAAAGGAAUUGACGGAGGGGCACCACCAGGACUGGAGCCUGCGGCUUAAUUUGACUCAACACGGGAAAACUCACCCGGCCAGGACACUAGAAGGAUUGACAGAUUGAGAGCUCUUUCUUGAUUUAGUGGGUGGUGGUGCAUGGCCGUUCUUAGUUGGUGGAGCGAUUUGUCUGGUUAAUUCCGAUAACGAACGAGACUCUAGCCUAUUAAAUAGAACAUUGAAUCUUGAAUGCUUUGAUGAGACUUCUUAGAGGGACAGGCGGCGAUUCAGCCGCAUGAAAAAGAGCAAUAACAGGUCUGUGAUGCCCUUAGAUGUCCGGGGCUGCACGCGCGCUACACUGAAUAGAUCAGCGCGCUUAACAAGCCUGGUCCGAAAGGACUGGGUAACCCAUUGAACAUUAUUCGUGAUUGGGAUUGGAGAUUGUAAUUAUUCUCCAUGAACGAGGAAUUCCCAGUAAGCGUGAGUCAUCAGCUCGCGUUGAUUACGUCCCUGCCCCUUGUACACACCGCCCGUCGCUACUACCGAUUGAAUUAUUUAGUGAGGUCUUCGGAUUGGCCUUUUCUUGUAUUGUUAUGAUAUGAGAAGGGAGCUGAAAAGAUGCCCAAACUUGAUUAUUUAGAGGAAGUAAAAGUCGUAACAAGGUUUCCGU
rnacentral:rRNA from 1 species